GAUGAACGCUGGCGGCGUGCCUAAUACAUGCAAGUCGAGCGAACAGAUAAGGAGCUUGCUCCUUUGACGUUAGCGGCGGACGGGUGAGUAACACGUGGGUAACCUACCUAUAAGACUGGGAUAACUUCGGGAAACCGGAGCUAAUACCGGAUAACAUUUGGAACCGCAUGGUUCUAAAGUGAAAGAUGGUUUUGCUAUCACUUAUAGAUGGACCCGCGCCGUAUUAGCUAGUUGGUAAGGUAACGGCUUACCAAGGCGACGAUCCGUAGCCGACCUGAGAGGGUGAUCGGCCACACUGGAACUGAGACACGGUCCAGACUCCUACGGGAGGCAGCAGUAGGGAAUCUUCCGCAAUGGGCGAAAGCCUGACGGAGCAACGCCGCGUGAGUGAUGAAGGGUUUCGGCUCGUAAAACUCUGUUAUUAGGGAAGAACAAAUGUGUAAGUAACUGUGCACGUCCUGACGGUACCUAAUCAGAAAGCCACGGCUAACUACGUG
rnacentral:rRNA from 1 species